rnacentral:lncRNA from 1 species
UUAUAAAAAUAUAUUUCAAAAAUUAUAGCGUAACCUUCAAAUACCCCAUGUAUUUUCACACAUUUUCAUUUUAAUAGUCUGUGGUUUAAAGUGUAUCAAGUUAGUCCUUAUAGUUUCGCACAUCUUAUUUAAUAUCCUGUGAUUUAAAGUGUAUCAAAUUAGUACCAUGUAAUUUCAUUUUUCUCUUUUUAUUAUCUAUUUUACUAAUUUUUUUCAUUAAAUCAGGAACAAAGUUAAUAUUAAAAGGUACUAAAGUAAAUAUUCGAUAAACGUAGAUAGGGUAUUUGAAGUUUUUUAUAUAUAAUUUAAUGAAAUAUUAAUGAAGGAAAAAAAAAUUAGUGACAAAGUUAAAACUAAAGGAUGCUAAAGUAAAUAUUCGAUAAAUCUAGGUAGGGUACUGAAGUUUUUUGUAUAUAAUUUAACGAAAUAUUAAUAGAGGAGCGGACGAAAAAAAAAAAAUAAAACCACAGGGUACUAAAUUGAUGUACUUUAAACUACAGGAUACUAAAGUGAGAAAGUGCGAAACCACAGGAUACUAAAUUGAUAUACUUUAAACCACAGGGUAUUAAAGUGAAAAAGUGUGAAACCACAAUGAUAGUAUUUGAAGUUUUCCCAAAAUUGUAAGGUAAACUUCAAAUACUAUCUCUAUAGUUUCUCAUUUUCUCACUUUGGUAUCCUGUAGUUUAGAGCGUAUCAAUUUAAUAUCUUGUGAUUGCAUUUUUCUUUUUUCGUCAGUCUUCCGUUAACAUUUUAUUAAAUUAUAUAAAAAAAAACUUCAGAUACUCCACCUAAGUUUAUCGAAUAUUCACUUUAAUACUUUUUAGUUUUAACUCUGUCGCUGAUUUAAUGAAAAGAAUCAGUGAAGGGGAUAAUAAAAAGAGAAAAAUGAAACCACGGAGUACUAAAUUGAUACGCUUUAAAUCACGGAAUACUGAAAUAAAAAAAUGCGAAACCACAGGAGUGAUAUUUAAAGUUUUUCAAAAAUUAUAACAUACUUUUUUGUGCUGCAACUUA